rnacentral:tRNA from 1 species
UAGCUCAGUUGGUAAAGAAUCUGCCUGUAAUGCAGGAGACCCAGGUUCGAAUCCUGG